UUCAAUCAUUGGCGUCUCUCUUAUAAAAAGUGCUUAUUUCUCUCUUAAAAGCUUCCACCUUUAUUUGAUUAAAGCUUUCUGUUUGUGUGUGGAGAAGUCGCAGGAGAAGGAGGAGAAGCAACAAAAAGUAAAAUUUUGGUUUUUGUUCAUACAAGAUUUGAGUUUUUAAGAAAAGGGUUGUUGAAAAUUUAAGUUUUUUGAGUGUGUUUUUGUGUGGAGAUUGUGAGGAGGAAGAAGGGUUUUGUGUUUUACGUAUAAUGGUUUUCAGGUGUGACUUUAUUUUUGGUGGAGAAGAAGAUAAAGUUGAAGGAGAGUGGGAGAAAGAGAGAUAGAUCAAAAGCCAUAAGUUCUAGCAGAAGUAGAGAGAAAUUAAGCACUUGAAAGAUUUGUUCAAGUUUAUUUUGAUCUGCUUUUGCUGGGUGAUUGGCAAUGUCUGCAACAGUAGUAAGUGAUCCAAUGGUGGUAUCAGCCCCAGAAACAGCACAGGCAACCCCAAAACUCAUCAAUCAAAUUGAAGUUGAGUUUGCAAAAUGUGAUUGCUGUGGCUUGACUGAAGAAUGUACACCGGAAUACAUCAAAACGAUACGCCAAAGGUAUCAGGGGAAAUGGAUUUGUGGGCUGUGUGCAGAGGUUAUAAAAGAUGAAAUUUUAAGAACAGAAAGACUUAUUAGCACUGAAGAAGCUAUGACUAAGCAUAUGGAUUAUUGCAAAACAUUUAGAUCCUCUAGACCGCCUCCGGAUCCUGCAAUUCAUCUGAUUUCUGCAAUGAGACAGAUUCUUAGAAGAAUCUUGGAUUCCCCUAGAGGAUUAAGAUCAACUCCCUCUAGUCCUACUAACGAAGUUGAUGAAAUUCACAGUCCAGCACUCGCUAGGUCUGGAAGUUGUUUCCCAACUUUGUCCGGUUGAUGAAGGUUUAGAUUAUGGAAAUGAAAAAUAAAUUGGAGGUGAACAGGGGAAGAUCACAAUUCAAUUGAUGCAAAAAUAAAAGAAAAAACAAUAGGGUUAAGCUUAGAUAUAUAUGUUUAAUGUAGUUAUCAAUCUUAAAUAGAAAACUUUCUUUUUUUGUUGUUAGCAACAUCAA